CUAUGAGGUACCACGGUGGCCACUGUGAAGUCACUUCCUUACUGACAUUCUGUAGCUAAAGGGGCCCCUUGGGGAGGGAGGUGCUUUGUGUCCGGAGCCCUGGGGCUGCUCUGCCUGCCUGGGAGGUGGGAGGUCCUCAGCCUUAGGGUGAGGCGGUGGCUUGGGAGCUGACCCUGCUCUGCGCCGGACACUUGCAGACCCUCUCCAACUGCAGGGCUGCGGCCACCCCUAGUGGAUGCUGACUGACGGAGCUCGCCCGAACAAUUGAUGAGUCUGGCCUCUCCGCUCUCCGUUCUGGAGCCUGGGCCUUGCUCUUCUUUAUGAACAUUCUGACGUCUCCCUCGGAUUUCACAGUGUGCUGCACAGACCCACAGCACAGGGAGUGCAAAAUCAUUUGAAGCGUCUAGCUUCCUGGGUCAGCAGUAUUGAAUGGGUUCUGGAGUGUGUGACUCGUGUGCACUUCAAAAGCUUGGAGAGAAGAACUUCCCAGCUGUGUGGCGGAAGUGGGCCCUGGGUGCAGAGCUGGAAGCUUCCAAAUUCUCUGCGUGGGAGACUCAGGACUACCUCCACAUCCCGGGCUGCCCAGAGAGCUCAAGGAACACCUACAGACCUCAGCACGGCAGUGAUGACGCUGAUGGCGUUCAGGGUGGACUGUGUGCUGCGUGCAAUGUGGACCAGACGCACCUGCUGUUCUUCUCCCUGCUUGCUGGCGCCCAGGGUUGAAGUGGGAAGGGAAAAAUGGGGCAUUACCAGUGAGAAGAGUGGACUCCUUGUCUGCAAAUGCCACCUGUUGUCCUUGCACCAGAGCAUAUCUCUGUGGACCCUGAGGUUCUCUUGUCCCAAGUCCUCUGUCACAGUGGGGAGUUCAUGUCAGCAGGGAGGAAGCCAAGCCUGUGACCAGCAGACCCCAGCUGCCACCAAGCCUCUUGGCCUGGACUAG
rnacentral:lncRNA from 13 species